AUUGAACGCUGGCGGCAGGCCUAACACAUGCAAGUCGAACGAGUGGCGGACGGGUGAGUAAUGUCUGGGAAACUGCCUGAUGGAGGGGGAUAACUACUGGAAACGGUAGCUAAUACCGCAUACCAUCGGAUGGUCCCAGAUGGGAUUAGCUAGUAGGGGGGGUCAAGGCUCACGUAGGCGACGAUCCCUAGCUGGUCUGAGAGGAUGACCAGCCAAUCGUGAACUGAGACACGGUCCAGACUCCUACGGUAGGCAGCAGUGGGGAAUAUUGCACAAUGGGCGCAAGCCUGAUGCAGCCAUGCCGCGUGUAUGAAGAAGGCCUUCGGGUUGUAAAGUACUUUCAGCGGGGAGGCGUUACCCGCAGAAGAAGCACCGGCUAACUCCGUGCCAGCAGCCGCGGUAAUAC
rnacentral:rRNA from 1 species